CAAAUUCCGAGCUCAAUUCACUGGCGAUGACAGCGUGAUUUGUAGCUUUGUUGAGAUAUAACAAUCGUAUCGCCCAGAUGCCAAACCAAAAAUGAGGGCGAAAGAAGACGAAAGAAAAAGAGAUGAAGUAAAAGAAAACAAGAGCCAGAGCUCUGCUUUCUCUUCUCUUGGCCAUUGGUGUGUAGUCCCCCGCUCCCCCCCGCUCCAAACACGUCUGGGCGUGUGCACGAGUCUAUGGACCCUACAGGAGGAGGAAGAAGAAAAAAAAAAAAAAAGAGAGACUCGCACUUUCUAUUCUUUCUUCUCUGCUGACUAGUUUGUGUAGGUGAACGGAAGAAACAACUUGAGAAAGGCUCCAGUCUCUUCAACGGUCAAAAGCAAGAACAUUGAAACUAACCGAUUUCCAUUAGGUAUAGGCUAUACUACCUCAUGCUGGAACGAUAAGAAAGAAAGAAAAAAAAAAGGAGAAUAUAUAAUAAUAAUAAUAAUAAUAAAAAACCCUGUCGACGUUGUGUGCGUAAAUGACUGGAAUGGAAUGCAAACAAGAGGCCAUCCUGAGCCGGGCGUCUUUAGCAACUCACCGCUGUUUCCGGUGUUGCUCGAGCCGCACACCGCUCGCCUGUACGGUGGUUGGUGGCUAGGAGGCGAGAACAUUUUUAGGCUUCAAGGUUACGUCUGUAUACGUCGGUAACACCACGUUUUGAUUCACGAUGGCAUUCUUCUGAAGGUUGUUGGCUCUUUGUACCUCAUCGUACCUGGAUUUUUCUCUCGCCAUAUUCUCCACCCACAAUCUUUUUUUAUUUCCUUUUAAAUUCUCUCUUGUUUUGUUUUUUGUGUUUUUCUUUCCCCAUUGGCCCUUUUAGUUCUUCCUUUCUCACCCGAGGCCGUUCUCUUUUUUCUUUCUUUCUUCUUCUUCUUCUUCUUUUUUUUUUGACGACACGCACAUCCUCGUGCGAAUCAGCCGUGUACUUCACAUCUCGCCGACAAACAAGGAGCUAAAAAACUCGUCCUCGGCAUUCGGCAAUGCCACGACACCCCAACGGGAGAAGAACGAGCCAAUGGACACAUUGCAGCACAAAGGAAAUGAAAACAAAAUAUAAAUAUAAAUAAAAUGUGCAUAGAACGAAACUAGCCCAAAUAAAUUCCCAUUGUACGUCAACCCCUCCGACACACACAACAACAAAAUUCUGUAAAA